GAUGAACGCUGGCGGCGUGCCUAAUACAUGCAAGUCGAGCGAACAGACGAGGAGCUUGCUCCUCUGACGUUAGCGGCGGACGGGUGAGUAACACGUGGAUAACCUACCUAUCAGACUGGGAUAACUUCGGGAAACCGGAGCUAAUACCGGAUAAUAUAUUGAACCGCAUGGUUCAAUAGUGAAAGACGGUUUUGCUGUCACUUAUAGAUGGAUCCGCGCCGCAUUAGCUAGUUGGUAAGGUAACGGCUUACCAAGGCAACGAUGCGUAGCCGACCUGAGAGGGUGAUCGGCCACACUGGAACUGAGACACGGUCCAGACUCCUACGGGAGGCAGCAGUAGGGAAUCUUCCGCAAUGGGCGAAAGCCUGACGGAGCAACGCCGCGUGAGUGAUGAAGGUCUUCGGAGCGGAAAACUCUGUUAUUAGGGAAGAACAAAUGUGUAAGUAACUAUGCACGUCUUGACGGUACCUAAUCAGAAAGCCACGGCUAACUACGUG
rnacentral:rRNA from 1 species